rnacentral:rRNA from 1 species
UACAGAGGGGGCAAGCGUUGUUCGGAAUUACUGGGCGUAAAGGGCGCGUAGGCGGCCUGCUAAGUCGAACGUGAAAUCCCCGGGCUCAACCCGGGAACUGCGUCCGAUACUGGCAGGCUUGAAUCCGGGAGAGGGAUGUGGAAUUCCAGGUGUAGCGGUGAAAUGCGUAGAUAUCGAGAGGAACACCUGCGGCGAAGGCGGGUUGCUGGGCUGACACUGACGCUGAUGCGCGAAAGCCAGGGGAGCGAACGGG